rnacentral:rRNA from 1 species
GAUGAACGCUGACAGAAUGCUUAACACAUGCAAGUCGAUGGGGAAGUGGUGCUUGCACCAUGGCAACCAUGGCGGACGGGUGAGUAACGCGUAAGGGACUUACCUGCAGGACUGGGAUAACAGGGGGAAACUCCUGACAAGACCGGAUAAUGUCAUGGAGCUGCAUGGCUUUAUGAUGAAAGGAGACGCCUGCGGAGAGCCUUGCGUCCUAUUAGCUAGUUGGUGAGGUAAUGGCUCACCAAGGCGAAGAUAGGUAGCCGGCCUGAGAGGGUGGACGGCCACAAGGGGACUGAGAUACGGCCCUUACUCCUACGGGAGGCAGCAGUGGGGAAUAUUGGACAAUGGGGGCAACCCUGAUCCAGCAAUUCUGUGUGCACGAAGAAGGUUUUCGGAUUGUAAAGUGCUUUCAGCAGGGGAGAAGUAAGUGACGGUACCUGCAGAAGAAGCGACGGUAA